CGAUGAUGCCCAGCUUGCUGGGUGGAUUAGUGGCGAACGGGUGAGUAACACGUGAGUAACCUGCCCCUGACUCUGGGAUAAGCGUUGGAAACGACGUCUAAUACUGGAUAUGACUGCCGGCCGCAUGGUCUGGUGGUGGAAAGAUUUUUUGGUUGGGGAUGGACUCGCGGCCUAUCAGCUUGUUGGUGAGGUAAUGGCUCACCAAGGCGACGACGGGUAGCCGGCCUGAGAGGGUGACCGGCCACACUGGGACUGAGACACGGCCCAGACUCCUACGGGAGGCAGCAGUGGGGAAUAUUGCACAAUGGGCGAAAGCCUGAUGCAGCAACGCCGCGUGAGGGAUGACGGCCUUCGGGUUGUAAACCUCUUUUAGUAGGGAAGAAGCGUAAGUGACGGUACCUGCAGAAAAAGCACCGGCUAACUACGUGCCAGCAGCCGCGGUAAUACGUAGGGUGCAAGCGUUGUCCGGAAUUAUUGGGCGUAAAGAGCUCGUAGGCGGUUUGUCGCGUCUGCUGUGAAAUCCCGAGGCUCAACCUCGGGCUUGCAGUGGGUACGGGCAGACUAGAGUGCGGUAGGGGAGAUUGGAAUUCCUGGUGUAGCGGUGGAAUGCGCAGAUAUCAGGAGGAACACCGAUGGCGAAGGCAGAUCUCUGGGCCGUAACUGACGCUGAGGAGCGAAAGCGUGGGGAGCGAACAGGAUUAGAUACCCUGGUAGUCCACGCCGUAAACGUUGGGCGCUAGAUGUAGGGACCUUUCCACGGUUUCUGUGUCGUAGCUAACGCAUUAAGCGCCCCGCCUGGGGAGUACGGCCGCAAGGCUAAAACUCAAAGGAAUUGACGGGGGCCCGCACAAGCGGCGGAGCAUGCGGAUUAAUUCGAUGCAACGCGAAGAACCUUACCAAGGCUUGACAUACACCGGAAACGGCCAGAGAUGGUUGCCCCCUUGUGGUCGGUGUACAGGUGGUGCAUGGUUGUCGUCAGCUCGUGUCGUGAGAUGUUGGGUUAAGUCCCGCAACGAGCGCAACCCUCGUUCUAUGUUGCCAGCGCGUUAUGGCGGGGACUCAUAGGAGACUGCCGGGGUCAACUCGGAGGAAGGUGGGGAUGACGUCAAAUCAUCAUGCCCCUUAUGUCUUGGGCUUCACGCAUGCUACAAUGGCCGGUACAAAGGGCUGCGAUACCGUAAGGUGGAGCGAAUCCCAAAAAGCCGGUCUCAGUUCGGAUUGAGGUCUGCAACUCGACCUCAUGAAGUCGGAGUCGCUAGUAAUCGCAGAUCAGCAACGCUGCGGUGAAUACGUUCCCGGGCCUUGUACACACCGCCCGUCAAGUCAUGAAAGUCGGUAACACCCGAAGCCGGUGGCCU
rnacentral:rRNA from 1 species